UGGGCCUCAGCCCUGACAUCCAGUCUGGGGUUAGCACGGAAGAGAUUGCAGGGGCUCCCCUUGACCCAAGCAGGAUGCAGGCCUUGUCCCUGCCUCUGCUCCCAUGUGGGCCACCCACUCUACUAGCAGCCCCAUGACCCCUGUCAGGUCCCUUCCUCCUGACCACCUUCCCAGACAUGGCUGCUAGGGAAUGGGGUUCACAUGGUUCAUAGCUCUCCCUUCUCCUGGGUAGGUUGAAGAAUGGGGUGGGGACAACAGAUUCCACCCUCCCUCCUGACUUGGUGCUUGCAGGUGGUGGCCGUGGUGAUGGACAUGUUCACUGAUGUGGACUUGCUCAGCGAAGUGCUGGAGGCUGCUGCACGCAGGGUCCCCGUCUAUAUCCUGCUGGAUGACAUGAAUGCACAACACUUUCUGGACAUGGCGGAAAAAUGCCGAGUCAACCUGCACCACGUGGAUGUGAGUGAGUGGACAGGUGGGGUGGACCGGGAAAGACCCUGGCGAAGACCUGACUCCCCUCCCUCCUCAGUUCCUGCGUGUGCGCACUGUGGCUGGCCCCACCUAUUAUUGCCGCACUGGGAAGUCUUUCAAGGGCCACGUGAAAGAGAAGUUCCUGCUUGUAGACUGUGCCGUGGUGAUGAGCGGGAGCUACAGGUGUGCGGUGUGCCCAGCUGGGUGUCGGUCCCUACCCCUCCCCUCUCUGGAGCCUCCCUGGGUGUCCCCGCCCCUCCUCACCAGGAGCACUCCUGUAGACCCUGAUAGCCUGGCCUGGCCCAGGUCCUAACACACCCUGGGACUCUGUGUGUCCCACCCAGCGCUGCAGGCCAGUGCUCCCUCACUCCGUUCUUGACUCUGACCCCCACCCACUCACCCACAGCUUCAUGUGGUCCUUCGAGAAGAUCCACCGCAGCCUGGCACACGUGUUCCAGGGAGAGCUGGUCUCCAGCUUCGACGAAGAGUUCCGCAUCCUCUUCGCACAGUCUGAGCCCUUGGUGCCCUCAGCUGGGGCGCUGGCCCGCGUGGACACUUAUGCCUUGGCUCCAUACUCCGGGGCGGGGCCCCUGGUGGGCAUCCCUGGGGCGCCCACCCCUUUCUCCUUCCCUAAACGGGCACACCUGCUGUUCCCUCCGCCCCGCGAAGAAGGCCUGGGUUUCCCCUCCUUCCUGGACCCAGAUCGCCACUUCCUUUCGGCCUUCCGCAGGGAGGAGCUGCCCCGGGUGCCCGGGGGCGCUCUGGAGCCGCAUGCAGGGAUGCGGCCACUGUCGCGACGGCUGGACACGGAAGUAGGGCCCAGCGGGGAGUUCGGGGGCCCACGGGGCUUCCUCCAGGCGCGGCACCUGGAGAUGGACGCCUUCAAGCGGCACAGCUACGCCGCGGCCGACGGCGCAGGCGCUGUGGAGAACUUCGCGGCUGCGCGGCAGGUGUCCCGACAGACGUUCCUCAGCCACGGGGACGACUUCCGCUUCCAGACCAGCCACUUCCACCGGGACCAACUCUACCAGCAGCAUUACCAGUGGGAGCCACAGUUCGCACCCACACGUCCGCAGGGCCUGUUCGAGAAGCUUCGCGCCGGCCGCCCGGGCUUGGCUGACCCCGACGACUUGGCGCUGGGCGCUGGGCCGCGCUUCCCCGAGCUUGGCCCGGAGGUGCACCAGCGGCUGGAGUACGUGCCCUCCAGCGCCUCGCGCGAGGUGCGCCACGGCUCGGACCCUGCCUUCAAGCCUGGUCCUGGUGGCCUGGAACCCGGCGGGGCCCUGCGCCCCAACCUGGGCCAGCGUUUCCCAUGCCAGGCGGUGGCGAGGCAAGGCCCAGACGCUGCUCCAGAGGCAGAGCCCGAGCGCAGGCCCGGGCCAGAGGGGCGAGCGGGGCUGCGGCACUGGCGCCUCGCCUCUUACCUCAGCGGGUGCCACGAGGAUGUGGGUGAGGAGGGCCUGCCCACACCCAUGGACGCUGACGUCUACGAAGAUGACGUGCUGGCUCCUGGGGGCCGGGCGGCCUUCCGUGUCCCUGCUACCUUGCCAGUCAAGGGCCUGUUGCCAGGCCCGGGAAGCGGUGGCGGCGACAGCUCGGAGCGCGAGGGCUCGGAGGAGGCAGGCCUGGUCAGGCAGGACUCGUUCCGCUCACGCCUAAACCCACUCAUCCAGCGCAGCUCCAGGCUACGCUCCUCACUUAUCUUCGCGCAGGCUGAAGGCUCUGGAGGUGCCACAACUGCCACCACUGAGAAGGUGCAGUUGCUGCACAAGGAACAAACGGUCAACGAGACGUUGGGUCCCAGUGGAGAGGCCAUGCGCUCCACCGCCUCUGCUAAAGUGGCCGAGCUGCUGGAGAAAUACAAGGGUCCAGCCCGUGACCCAAGCGCGGGGGGAGGUGCGGUCACUGUCUCCAGCCACAGCAAGGCUGUCGUGUCCCAAGCUUGGCGGGAAGAGGUGACCGCACCCGGCGCAGCAGGGGGCGAGCACCGCAGCCUGGAGAGCUGCUUGCUUGACUUGCGUGAUUCCUUUGCCCAAAGGCUACACCAGGAGGCGGAGCGGCAGCCGGGAGCCGCCUCCCUCACGGCUGCUCAACUUCUUGACACGCUGGGCCGCAGUGGCACUGACCGCCUGCCCUCCCGCUUCCUCUCUGCCCAGGGCCGCUCCACCUCCCCGCAGGGGCGGGACAGCCCCCCGCCAGAAGUGCCUGCUGCACACCAGGUGCCCCUUUCUGAGCCCAAAGGGAGCCCCACCUCAGCCUACCCAGAGCGGAAGGGGAGCCCCACGCCAGGGUUAUCCAAUCGGAGAGGCAGCCCAACUACAGGAUUUAUUGAACAGAAGGGCAGCCCCACCUCGACCUACCCAGAACGCAGAGGUAGCCCGGUACCCCCUGUGCCUGAGCGCAGGGGCAGCCCGGUACCCCCUGUGCCUGAGCGCAGGGGCAGUCUCACCCUCGCCUCAUCCAGUGAGUCUCCUAAGGUGGGGCCCACAGAGGAGGUGGCUGGAGGCCCCAUGGAAGUCCUGCGCAAAGGCUCCCUCCGCCUCAGGCAGCUGCUGAGCCCCAAGAAUGAGCGUCGCGGGGAGGAUGAGGGCAACUUCCCAGUGCCACAGGAGAAUGGGCAGCCAGAGAGUCCCCGGCGACCAUCUUUGGGCCGAGGUGAUAGUACAGAGGCUACUGCAGGGGAUGAGCGGGGCCCAAGGGCACGGCUAUCCUCUGCCACGGCCAAUGCCUUAUACAGCAGCAACCUACGAGAUGACACUAAGGCCAUCCUGGAGCAGAUCAGCGCCCAUGGUCAGAAGCAUCGUGGGGUUCCAGGCCCAGGCCCAGCCCACAGCAGCCCCGAGCUGGGCCACUCACCAGCUCCUGGAGGCCUGGCCCCAGACAUGUCCGACAAGGACAAAUGUUCAGCCAUCUUCCGGUCAGACAGUCUGGGUACGCAAGGCCGGCUGAGCCGCACCCUACCUGCCAGCGCAGAGGACCGCGACCGCCUACUGCGCCGCAUGGAAAGCAUGCGCAAGGAGAAGCGCGUCUACAGCCGCUUUGAGGUCUUCUGUAAAAAGGAAGAGGCUGGUGGUUCUGGGGCAGGGGAUGGCCUGGCGGAGGAGGAUGCCAGGGACAGCAAGGUGGGCAAGUUCGUGCCCAAGAUCCUGGGUACACUCAAGGGCAAGAAGUGAGUGUCCUGGUCCACCAGCCCAGGCCAAGGUGCUUCCUCACUGCCACCCUGCAUCUGCUGGGCAGGGAGCUCCGUGUCCCCGUGUUUGAGUGGCAGCCACCAUCCCUCAUUCCAGAGCAGCCAAGGGGCCGGACUGGACCCACCAGAGCUCAGCUUCAGUGGGUUUCCCUGGCAGCUGCCCUGCCCUGGCCCUGGCCUGUCCUCCCAGGGUUUCAGUCCGCGGCCUGGUACCUUUUCUCACCAACCCUUGCUCCUCUGCCCCCUUCUCUCCUGCUGCUUCCAUUUCCCUGGGCUCAGAUCCCCUCUGGACCUUCACUCACCUCAGGGACCCUUCUCUCUGUGCCUCAGUCCUGCUUGCAGGGACCCAACACUUGUGCCUCAGUCUCCCCAGCUCUAGGGGUCUUUUGUCUCCUCAGGGAUUCCGUUUUCAGGGCUCUCUUCUCAGACCUGUGGUUCUGCUGCCAGCCGCUCCACCCUGCCUCCUCGCCCCUGUCCUUCACUGGCUCCCUCUCUCCUCCUGGUGCCGGUCCUCUUGUGGGGAAGGAAGGAAGAGUGUGGUUGGACCCAAAGGAAGCUUUUCUUGGGAGGCACAGGGCAGGCCUCUGAGAAGGAGGGAUGAAGGGGACCCCAGAGGGGCUGCCCUGCUGCCCAGACUGCAGCUGCCUCAGCCAAGUCUGCCCCUCGCACAGUCAAGUCCUGGGUGGCCAGGGGGAGACACCAGGAGGCGAGUCCUGGGCUCUGCAGCAUAAUAAAAUGGAGUCUGGACUGACACCCUGAAGCCAAGUCUGAUUAAGUGGCUCCCAGACAAGUGCCACACCCCAGAAGGGUGGGAUGUGGCACACUUGUCCCUGAGCUCUGGCCACCUUCCCCAGGGCAGAGGUCCUGGGAAUCCCUGCAGGUGGGGUGACCCUUGCCCUGCAGGUGCCCAGAAGACCCUAGCUCCACCUUGCCCUUGAUCCUUUCCUGUUUCAUCACCAACAUGCAAAAUCUGUCAAAGACA
rnacentral:lncRNA from 1 species